GAUGAACGCUGGCGGCGUGCCUAAUACAUGCAAGUCGAGCGAACAGACGAGGAGCUUGCUCCUCUGACGUUAGCGGCGGACGGGUGAGUAACACGUGGAUAACCUACCUAUAAGACUGGGAUAACUUCGGGAAACCGGAGCUAAUACCGGAUAAUAUAUUGAACCGCAUGGUUCAAUAGUGAAAGACGGCUUUGCUGUCACUUAUAGCUGGAUCCGCGCCGCAUUAGCUAGUUGGUAAGGUAACGGCUUACCAAGGCAACGAUGCGUAGCCGACGGGAGAGGGUGAUCGGCCGCACUGGAGCUUAGACACGGUCCAGACUCCUACGGGAGGCAGCAGUAGGGAAUCGUCCGCAAUGGGCGAAAGCCUGACGGAGCAACGCCGCGUGAGUGAUGAAGGUCUUCGGAUCGUAAAACUCUGUUAUUAGGGAAGAACAAAUGUGUAAGUAACUAUGCACGUCUUGACGGUACCUAAUCAGAAAGCCACGGCUAACUACGUG
rnacentral:rRNA from 1 species